UGGGGAAUCUUGCGCAAUGGCCGAGAGGCUGACGCAGCGACGCCGCGUGCGGGAGGAAGCCCUUCGGGGCGUAAACCGCUGUCACCGGGGACGAAUGUCGUGCUUUCGAACAGGGGGCACGGUUGACGGUACCGGGUGAGGAAGCCACGGCUAACUCUGUGCCAGCAGCCGCGGUAAUACAGAGGGGGCAAGCGUUGUUCGGAAUUACUGGGCGUAAAGGGCGCGUAGGCGGCCUGCUAAGUCGAACGUGAAAUCCCUGGGCUCAACCCAGGAACUGCGUCCGAUACUGGUUGGCUUGAAUCCGGGAGAGGGAUGCGGAAUUCCAGGUGUAGCGGUGAAAUGCGUAGAUAUCUGGAGGAACACCGGUGGCGAAGGCGGCAUCCUGGACCGGCAUUGACGCUGAGGCGCGAAAGCCAGGGGAGCAAA
rnacentral:rRNA from 1 species